CUACUUCCUGACAUUCCUCGUUGCUCACAGAGACUGACGUAAUCGAUGCGUAGCACGCGCGAGCGCAGCGUAGACCGACGUUUCGCUGGACAUUUACUGCACGCUCGUCGAUCGUGGUUCGUAACAUUUCUAUUAUUAUCUUCGUUCCAUCGUGGGCGACCCUGUGGAACCGGCGAGAACUUUCUGUCCAUCCCGAGAAUCGAAUCGCGUGUGAAGAGAGCACGUAAAUAACUCUUAAUAAAACGCGUUUACGCGGCACGCGAAUCUUCUUAUAAAUUUCUUAUCGAAAAUCUGUGAUCUCGAGGACGAGUCGUAUUCUCGUGCCGAGUCGAUGCGUUAAAAAAAAUUGAUCAUCGAUGUACUUGGAAGAUCGGGUUUGUUUUUUUUUUUUUUAGUUUUGGCAUCGAUUGUCAUUGUGUCGAUUAUCGAAUUAUUAUCGAUGGUCGAUCGUUGGUUCCAACCGCGCGCCCACGAUUAAUCGUAGAGAUUAAAAAGGAUGAACGGCUUGGUGAUAUUAUCCGGAAGACAAGAAGAUAACUCUCAUUGUUGUAAAAGUACAAAUGCCACGGGACGGCCGCGCGAGUAGCUUUAAAUACUCUCGUGCGCAUUUCGGUUAUAUAUUACUGCCCAUGUUGCGCCAAUAAAAACGUUAAAAAACUAUAUAUACGACGAAGGAAGCUUGUUGGAAUGUGAAACGAAUAAAUCGUUGAUAACAAGCGAGGACGUAGUCCCUCGGUGUACCUCUGAAACCCCGGGUAUCAGAAGGGAAAGUGUGGGGAACCGCGUGCCAAGAGGAAAGAGUAUGAAACGUGACGAGUAUGAAAGUAGAAGUUAAUGUCUCGUGGAAGAGGAGGAGGAAAGCGUUAAGAACAGUGGUGGAUCUGGAUGUUUCAUCCCCUUUCCCUUUUGGCGAGUGAUACGAUCGUCGAUAGUCAAAGCUGCUCAAUUUAGCGCACAUAAUAGAUGUUAUUCGAUGGUAGACAGACUCGAACAGAGUCGAAGAGACGCACAACACGCGACGAGGAUUAAUUCUCGUUCGAGGACGAACUUGUUGGAUCUCGUUUUCGCGUAUGAAAGUCGCGAGCAAACCCUGUCCCGUUCUUUUCAAAGACGAAAAAGCCGCUUAACAGACUAGGAAAGAGAGAGAGAGAGGAGAGGAGAGAGAGAGAGAGAGAGAAAGAAGAAGGAUGAACGAAAAACGCAAGGGAAGCUAUUCGUCACCCUCGAAUUUUUCUGUCUCGAAAUAAAUACCGUUGUCUUUUGAUUGUCGUUUUAAAUGGACAAAAAAACCAUAAACUAUGAAUGAUUUUGUAACCUAAGGAAAUAUAAGUUGCUCUUAAAUCUGACACGGACAUGACUUCUUUCACCCGCAAUUUUCUCGAUGACACGCUUACGUUACUCACUACGAGCCUUCUUCAUUUCAUCCAAUCGUCUCUGUUCGCAAUUCCGUUCCUUUCUUUCACUUUUUCUUUUUCUUUUUUUUUUUUUUUUUUUUCUUUAAAUCGAAUUAUCAAGACGAAAAAAACAAACACUUCCUUUUUUUGACGAUCGAGAAAAGAGAUACGAUUCAUUCGAUUUCUCUUGUAUUUCGUUCGACACGUGUUUAAUAACGGUGCAAUCUGAUAUCAUGAUGUAAAUCAUUGUAAUGUGAUACGCGAUGUAAUGCUGAAUUUAAUAGAACAAGCAGAUCGGGAACUAUCGGAACCAAUUUUGAUAGAUAUCGGCGGUGGUUUAUCACUAAAAGAAACAUCGAUAAACAUCGAUUCCGUUGAACGUUUAUAUAUAUAUAUAUAUAUAUAUAUUUUUUUUUUAUACAAAAUUUUCAUUCUAGAAUCUAUUUAUUUAACAUUAUAUUUUUUUCGUUGAAAAGAAUUUUCUCCGCAUGUUCUCGUAUGUACACGAUCAAUUCAACGUCGAUCCAAGUUCCAUUCAAUAUUUUAAUCGAAUCAAGUUUCCGAUUUAAGUGUUUCUCUCAGUGUCCGACCCCCACCGAUGUUGCUUAUAUAAUUAGAUUUUGUCUGAAAACGAGUUCAGUAUUGGUGUGUUUUAGCACCAAUGGAACCAAAAGGAAUGACAGGAAAGCUUGAAGGAUUAUGAGGGAAUGAAACGGCGUUCUUUUCAAGAACAAAGUUAUUACGUUCUGGUGUUCUUCUCUAUCAUUCAUAACUUUCUUCGUGAUUCUCAUUCUAUCGUGAUAAAAUUAAACGUAUGUCGCUAAGAAAAAGAAAAAAAAAAAAAUAAAAAAUAAAAAAAAGAGAGAGAGCGAAACAAACAGAGAGCUUCGUUGAACAAUGCCUAGCUAUCAUCGUCGAAAUUAAUAAUUGUUGAACGAACCGAGAGGAAAGUCUGAUGGAAGUGUGUUUAACAUCUGUUUAAUCAGAUCGAGACGGGAUUAAAGGGUUGAAGAGAUACGAGAGAGCGAGAUAGGUAAAGAGAAUGAAAGUGAGGUCUGUCGAAAUGAAGUAUGGAAGGAAAAAAAAAAAGGAGCAAAAAAAAAAUAAAUAAAUAAAUAAAUAAUAAUAAUAAUAAUAAUAAUAAUAAUAAUAAUAAUAAUGAAAAACAUGAAUUAUAAUAGAGUAAUGUAUUUUAUGACGGGUUUUAAUAGCGGUAUUAAUACGAUAUUAAUAGCGAUAUUUAGCCGUAACUGAUAAUAAAGACACUAUUUGAAUGUGAAAUUAUUAGACGAUAAUGAGACACAGGAUGUAACACACAGUGGUAUAAACUGUAUGGUAAAACUACUAUAAGAUUAAUAAACGAUUAGGCAUUAGAUCGUCGAAAUGGGAAAGAAAAUGGACGAGAACAAGUAAGAUAUUAAGAUAACGAGGGGAAGAGAAAAACGAAUAUUGAAACGAAUAAUGAAAAUCCAAGGACUUUUUUUUACCAAAGAAUUUUUUCACAAAGAGAUUUCGAUACACGCGUGCACGCGUUUUCCUUCACUUGUUUCUGUUUUAUUAUAUAUACGUACAAUGGGAUUAAAUCACUCGAGCGAGAAUUCCGAUUCGACUUGAACACGAAAUUUAAUCCUUAUGCCAAUAAAAUACGAUAAUAACUUAGCAUCGCGUACCAUUAUUAGAAAGAAGAAGGGAAGAACAUUUAUAAAUAAACCCCGUAAACUUCGAUGCAAUUAAGGUACUAUAUCUCCUAAUUUUCUCUUUUCUGAAAAAAAAGUCAAGUGAUCGGGGAGUUUGUUAGCAAGGGAUUAAACUUCGAUGAUUCUCGCCAAAGUUUUUGAUGCUUCCAGUAAUUAUGGAACGAUUCCAGAAUAAAAAUACUGUCGAAUUUACGGGAACGUUCUCCGCUAAAGAACAAAUUUAAAUAUAAAUGUUAAAUGUAAUAUCAUCGAACAUUCCGCAAGAUGGACUGCAUGAAAUCAUACGUGAUAAUAAUUUGCGAACGUAUAUAAGAUAUAUGUAUUGUAGCGAUUAAAUGUCGCCAGAGAUGGAAUUAUAAGAAAAAAAAAAAAAAAAAAAAAAGGGGGAAUACCAAAAAUUCGUACGCUUUACAUCCAGCGGUGAACGCGAGAAUCGUGAUAGAUCGAUUAUCGAUGGGACGAUUUACAAUUUAAAAAAAAAAAAAAGUAUAUAGCGAUUAUUUAUUAUUAAACAAAUGUUUAGGGUGGGAUGGAGGGGUGGUCGAGGGAAAUCUGUGGGUGUAGACAAAGUAAGACUGAUUUGUGAAAGGAUUGAUUGCUUGAUUCGAGUAUCGUUUUUCGAUCGGUUGAUAGUUUAUGAACAUGGAAAUAUCAUCGUUUAUGUUAUGUUACAAAUUAUCCAAUUAACGUAAGAUUACACAAAAAACAUGAAAUUUUCUGCUUGAGAAACGAUACGUGAAUUUAAUAUAGAUGAAAUUUAACGACAAAACUUUUACUCAAAUAAAAUAAAAUCUAAAACUGAAUCCUGUUUAUACUAGGAUCGAUCGAACAAUCUUCGAGUCAAGUUGACGAAUAGAAAAACUUCUAAGAAGUGAAAAAUCUUUUUACUAAGAACUUCAUUCCAUGUCUAAUAUUGCAUGGGCUUGUACUAUUUUCCAAUCGAAUGGCUCUCAAUUGAGUUGCUGAGUGAAUAGAAAACAGAAAAUUUUCUAAAAAGAAAAGAGUCCUUUUCUUCUUUUCGAGGAGAAAAGAGAAAAUAAUAAGAAAAAAAAAAAAAAAUACUUUUUUUGCAGAGAUGCUAUUUUCUCUGCUAGGAAGUUUGGCCUGCGUCUGAUCACGCACGGACUAUAACUACUGUCGGUCGUGCACAGGCCUAACGUUCACGCAUCGACCAAGCAUCGGAACACUGAGCUUCUUCCUCUUUCUAAUUACCUCGUUAAUUGCUAGACACUUGAUUAUCCACUUCGAUAAUUCUACGUUAGCGAGCAAGUUAUGCUUGUUUUACGUUAGAGAAUCGAAAUAACCUUUAUAUGUAUAUCGUUGAUCACUUCGAUCGCGAAUGACACGAACAUUCACGUUCAUUGUUAAAUAACGACUGGUGCUUUGAUCGCAGCAUAUCGAGACUAGAAUCGAGAAGGCAAUUGGGGGAAAAAAAAGAAGAGAGAGAGAGAGAGAAAAAAUAGGAAUCAAAAGGUUUCUUUUCAAGCUUUCACAAGUUUGUGGGUGACAGUCGUCGUAGAGAAUAUUUUCUUUCGUAACGUUCAAUCUUUAUAAUAAAGAGCAUCUAUGAUCAUCACCGGACUCCUGAUGAAAUUAUUCCACGAAGAAUCAAUUUCGCAGGCUGUCAUCACCGCGAAGGAUACCGUGUAAUCACUGUUACCAUCGAUCCAUCGUAUAUCGAUAUAUCGACAUGUUUUUGAAUCCGAUCGAUACGUCGAUCUAACGAUUGAUCGAUCUUGUUGGAAACGUUGCGCCAGCAAAUCAUUUAACCUCUUAAAGAGUAGAAUCUUCAAUUAACUAAGCGCUCUCGAAUUAUAAAAUGGAUGAUUUGUUUGUCGAGUGUUUCGCGGGAUAUACUUUCUUCGUAUACCUUCUCUAAUAGGGCCGAGCAUGGUUUUAUUUAAAGUUCGUCUAGGUGCGAAACGUUGAAUAAAUCUAAAACCUAUAUAAGUAUAAUCUGUAUUUAAUUAUCGUCAUUUAUCAUAUUACUGUGUACUUAUCGCAUGAUUAUUACUUACAUGUAUUAUUUAUACAACUACAGGUAGAAAUUCCCAUUAUGAAGUAUUAUGUGGAGGUUAGAUAUAUCUAUAUAUACAUUAUAUUAUAUUAUAUUAUAUUAUAUUACAUUAUAUUAUAUUGUAUUUACAUUAUAUUAUAUUAUACACAUAUAUUUCUCACGUGGAAAUUUUUCAAGCAUCUCAAUACAACACCGCGACGGCUAUUGUUGUGCAAUAAGUAUAUAUGGGCGUGCUUUUUAAGAGGUUAAUCGGGAUACCGAUUUAAUAUUACGUAGUACAGAGCAAAAAAGCUUCCUCUACAUAUACAUAUACAACACGUACAUAUACAUACAUACAUACAUACGUAUACAUUACAUACACACAUAUGCGCAUACGCGAGUCCGUCUGUAAUAGUUUCAAGUUUCAAAACCUCGAAUUACAAUUAAAAUUAGUAUAGUAUUAUGAUAAUUUGUGACAUUGUGCUCUAUUAUUAUCUAGAUAUAUUCGUUUAAAUGUUUAUGCGUAUAUUUAAAAAAGUCGAGUAUUAUGCGUAAGUAGUUUGAUUGUAUGUUCUUGUAUGUACUUUUUCCAUUUAAUUCUAUGUUAUAACUAUAUAAUAUUGAUCUUUUCGUCUUUGCGUACGUGUAAUCAUGAUUUAUCAAAUGCGAAUUCGAGGUUUAUUCGAUCUAAGGAAAAAGAAAGGGGAAAAAAAAAAAAAAAAAAAAAAAAAAGAAAAAAAAAAAUGUAACCGGCCAAGCGAAGCAAAUUGAAACACACAAACUUCCUUCAUCGAUGAAUACACGUAUACGUAUCUUACGUGCGGAUGAUCGAUCCGCAUAAGGGAACAGAAUUCAUUUUUCCGAGGAAACAACGAUGGGAUGUUCGUUCCUAAUGGGUUCCGUCGAGCAUUCUUCGUCGUCGCCUCACAAAAUCACUUUAGGGCAACGAACUAGAAAUGUGUUGAAUAUUUACACGAAUUUACAAGAAUCUUACUAAUGUACUUUUUCUAUAAUCAUACGCGAGACAGAAAUUACAAAUAUGCACAUGUAGGUGCGUAUCACGAUACAUACAUACAUACAUACACACACACACACACACAUAUACACGUUACAAGCAUACAAAUUUAUAAACUCUUGUAUCUUUAACAUCUAAUGAAAUGGAGGAACGGAAAGAUUAUAUUGGAUGUACUACAAAUCCGCGUACAAUCAAAGCACACAAAAUACAUGAUUACAAGCACCCACACGUACAAGAAAAGAAGACCAUUCACGCACACUGUGGCACAUAACAGACACAAGUAUGACUUAAAAGGGAAAAAAAAAAAAAAAAAAAAAAAAAAAACAAAGACAGCAACAUUUUCGAAAACACGUGCGCGCCAUCACAAUUGUUGAUAUAAAUUGCGAUCCAUGAUUAUUACUAUUUACGAUAUAAUUAUUAUCUUGCAUUGUCUAGUCAUACGUUAUUAUUGUAUAACUAACAAUAUUAAUUAUUAAUUAAUCUGUACUACCUAGUCGCAUUAUGUGUUGCAUAAAAAAAACUAUGAAAAUUCCGAAGGCGAAAUAAGAGAGAGAGAGAGAGAGAGAGAGAGAGAGAAUGGAAGUGUGAAAGAAAAAAAACGUAAAAGAGAGAAAGGGAGAGAGAGCGUAAAAGAAAACAAGAGAGCAAGAGAGAAAAGAGAGAAUGAGCGCGAGGGUGAAUGAUGUUAGAGAAAAGAUGAGAAAAGUUGGUAUUGGUGAAAUUUCAGUAAUUAUAUUAUGAAGAACGAUUAUGAUAAAUGACAGAUGAUCAAUUGAAGCGAUGAUUACGGUUGUGAUCGUAACCAAUGAUGAAUAAGGUAACAACGGUAGGCGCAAUAUGUUCCCAAAAAAGGAGAGAAAAAAAAAAACGAUUUAGAAUAUAAAGAGAAAGAGAGAGAAUGUGAGAAGAGAGAAAAAAAGAGAGAGAAAGAGAGAAUGAAACAAAGGCACUUUGUUGCAGCCGUGAUAACGCUCGUCGAUCGAGAAUAAAGAUCAAGUUUGACUAAUUGUGAUGAUAAUCUCGGACGAAGUUAUUUAUUUUGAGGAUAAGGAGAGAGCUAGUGAGAUAAAAACUUAAGGGUGCUUUGAAAUGUUUCACGUUAAACGCGAAUGUUUUUAAUCACGAUUUGAUGAUCGAUGAUGUUUAAGAAACGAUCAGUUGAUUCUUAGAAAGUAAAUUUUGAGAGCUACAUAUAAUUAAACACUUCGCGGGCAAGCAAGCGCUAAAUAUUGAAUAUAUACGUAUGACUAUAAAAGUACGAGAUUCGUAUCAUCUUGAAAAAUUAAUUUAAAGAACUGUCACCGAAGUGUUAUGUCAUAUCCGCCCAAAAACCCGUCAAUCCAAUCAGAAAGUAAUAUCGUCGUACAUGUUGAAAAAUUUGAGAAAUAAGUACUUUAAGAUACUUUCUGAACUCAUCGUUUCUUCGAUCGAUGAAUCAAAUGGAUAAAUAAUCGAUCAAAUCGGGCGAUCAUGGUUGCCGGAGGCCGCCUGCUUAGUUAAGGAACAGAAAGUGAAAAUGAUGAUGAUGACGAUGGUAAUGAUGAUGAAUUAAAAAAAAAAAGAAAAAAAAAAAGAAUAAUAACUGUCACGACACGCACGUGCGCGUCGCGCGCCAAAAUCGUGACGCGUCCGUGCGUACUGGUAGCAGAAAAAAGAACAAAACGAGUAUUAAAUAUAUGCGGGGGCCGUGGAGAGGAGGGAACCUUCCUUUACUCAAAAGAAAUUUCGGUGGAUUGUCUUGUCAAUUCACUGACUUUUCCCUGUUGCCAGGUAAG